rnacentral:tRNA from 1 species
GUGGCAUUAGCUCAGUCGGAUAGAGCAACCGCCUUCUAAGCGGUUGGUCUCAGGUUCGAAUCCUGCAUGCCGCACCA